AUGUGGACCGAUGAGCUCAAGGUUACUGUUUAUAGCGCGUCGUUUCACUCCAUCCUAGCUAACGUUGUUCAUGUAGCUUCAGGUGUACAGUUUUGUUUUGUGUGUAUCUAUGGAGAUCCUUAUCAUCGUCAAACUAGUACUAUAUGGAAUCAGGAUGCCUCUUUUGUGUAUGAUAACUUAGGAAAGCCAAUGAUCUGUAUGGGUGACAUGAGCGACAUCCUGUAUGAUAUGGACAAGUGCAAUGCUAAUGUUAAUCAGUAUAGGAUGUCUGAUUUUCGUGCUUUAAUUAAAAAUUGUGGCUUCUUUGACAUUGGCUAUAGUGGUCCGGCCCAC
rnacentral:rRNA from 1 species